UACGUAGGGUGCAAGCGUUGUCCGGAAUUAUUGGGCGUAAAGAGCUCGUAGGCGGCUUGUCGCGUCGGUUGUGAAAGCCCGGGGCUUAACUCCGGGUCUGCAGUCGAUACGGGCAGGCUAGAGUUCGGUAGGGGAGAUCGGAAUUCCUGGUGUAGCGGUGAAAUGCGCAGAUAUCAGGAGGAACACCGGUGGCGAAGGCGGAUCUCUGGGCCGAUACUGACGCUGAGGAGCGAAAGCGUGGGGAGCGAACAGG
rnacentral:rRNA from 1 species